GAUGAACGCUGGCGGCGUGCCUAAUACAUGCAAGUAGAACGCUGAAGCUUGGUGCUUGCACCGAGCGGAUGAGUUGCGAACGGGUGAGUAACGCGUAGGUAACCUGCCUCUUAGCGGGGGAUAACUAUUGGAAACGAUAGCUAAUACCGCAUAAAAGUCGAUAUCGCAUGAUAUUGAUUUGAAAGGUGCAAAUGCAUCACUAAGAGAUGGACCUGCGUUGUAUUAGCUAGUUGGUGAGGUAACGGCUCACCAAGGCGACGAUACAUAGCCGACCUGAGAGGGUGAUCGGCCACACUGGGACUGAGACACGGCCCAGACUCCUACGGGAGGCAGCAGUAGGGAAUCUUCGGCAAUGGGGGCAACCCUGACCGAGCAUACGCCGCGUGAGUGAAGAAGGUUUUCGGAUCGUAAAGCUCUGUUGUAAGAGAAGAACGAGUGUGAGAUGUGGAAAUGUUCACA
rnacentral:rRNA from 1 species